GGUUAAGCGACUAAGCGUACACGGUGGAUGCCUAGGCAAUCAGAGGCGAUGAAGGACGUGCUAAUCUGCGAAAAGCGUCGGUAAGGUGAUAUGAACCGUUAUAACCGACGAUGUCCGAAUGGGGAAACCCAGUGCAAUUCGUUGCACUAUCGUUUGAUGAAUACAUAGUCAAACGAGGCGAACCGAGGGAACUGAAACAUCUCAGUACCUCGAGGAAAAGAAAUCAACCGAGAUUCCCCUAGUAGCGGCGAGCGAACGGGGAGCAGCCCAGAGUCUUAAUCAGCAUUAGCAUCAGGAGAACGGUCUGGAAAGGCCGGCAGUAAAGGGUGAUAGCCCCGUAUCCGAAGGUGUUAGUGUUGUGAACUCGACGAGUAGGGCGGGACACGUGUUAUCCUGUCUGAAUAUGGGGGGACCAUCCUCCAAGGCUAAAUACUCCUGAUUGACCGAUAGUGAACCAGUACCGUGAGGGAAAGGCGAAAAGAACCCCGGCGAGGGGAGUGAAAUAGAACCUGAAACCGUGUACGUACAAGCAGUGGGAGCCUUGAUUUAUCAGGGUGACUGCGUACCUUUUGUAUAAUGGGUCAGCGACUUAUAUUCUGUAGCAAGGUUAACCGUAUAGGGGAGCCGUAGGGAAACCGAGUCUUAACUGGGCGAAUGAGUUGCAGGGUAUAGACCCGAAACCCGGUGAUCUAGCCAUGGGCAGGUUGAAGGUUGGGUAACACUAACUGGAGGACCGAACCGACUAAUGUUGAAAAAUUAGCGGAUGACUUGUGGCUGGGGGUGAAAGGCCAAUCAAACCGGGAGAUAGCUGGUUCUCCCCGAAAGCUAUUUAGGUAGCGCCUCGUGAACUCAUCUUCGGGGGUAGAGCACUGUUUCGACUAGGGGGUCAUCCCGACUUACCAACUCGAUGCAAACUACGAAUACCGAAGAAUGUUAUCACGGGAGACACACGGCGGGUGCUAACGUUCGUCGUGAAGAGGGAAACAACCCAGACCGCCAGCUAAGGUCCCAAAGUCAUAGUUAAGUGGGAAACGAAGUGGGAAGGCUCAGACAGCCAGGAUGUUGGCUUAGAAGCAGCCAUCAUUUAAAGAAAGCGUAAUAGCUCACUGGUCGAGUCGGCCUGCGCGGAAGAUGUAACGGGGCUAAACUAUGCACCGAAGCUGCGGCAGCGAUAUUUAGAUAUUGUUGGGUAGGGGAGCGUUCUGUAAGCCUGUGAAGGUGUGCUGUGAGGCAUGCUGGAGGUAUCAGAAGUGCGAAUGCUGACAUAAGUAACGAUAAUGCGGGUGAAAAACCCGCACGCCGGAAGACCAAGGGUUCCUGUCCAACGUUAAUCGGGGCAGGGUGAGUCGACCCCUAAGGCGAGGCAGAAAUGCGUAGUCGAUGGGAAACGGGUUAAUAUUCCCGUACUGGUGAUAAUUGCGAUGGGGGGACGGAGAAGGUUAGGCUGGCCGGGCGACGGUUGUCCCGGUUUAAGGAUGUAGGCAGGUGAAUUAGGCAAAUCCGGUUCACUAUAUGCUGAGGUCUGAUGACGAGUCACUACGGUGGCGAAGUAGCUCAUACCCCGCUUCCAGGAAAAGCCUCUAAGCUCUAGAUUAUCAUUAAUCGUACCCCAAACCGACACAGGUGGUCAGGUAGAGAAUACUCAGGCGCUUGAGAGAACUCGGGUGAAGGAACUAGGCAAAAUGGUGCCGUAACUUCGGGAGAAGGCACGCUGGCGCUAGGUGAAGUGGUUUACCCAUGGAGCUGAAGCCAGUCGCAGAUACCAGCUGGCUGCAACUGUUUAUUAAAAACACAGCACUGUGCAAACACGAAAGUGGACGUAUACGGUGUGACGCCUGCCCGGUGCUGGAAGGUUAAUUGAUGGGGUUAUCCGUAAGGAGAAGCUCUUGAUCGAAGCCCCAGUAAACGGCGGCCGUAACUAUAACGGUCCUAAGGUAGCGAAAUUCCUUGUCGGGUAAGUUCCGACCUGCACGAAUGGCGUAAUGAUGGCCAGGCUGUCUCCACCCGAGACUCAGUGAAAUUGAACUCGCUGUGAAGAUGCAGUGUACCCGCGGCAAGACGGAAAGACCCCGUGAACCUUUACUAUAGCUUGACACUGAACAUUGAGCCUUGAUGUGUAGGAUAGGUGGGAGGCUUCGAAGCGUGGACGCCAGUCUGCGUGGAGCCAACCUUGAAAUACCACCCUUUAAUGUUUGAUGUUCUAACGUUGCCCCGUUAUCCGGGGUGCGGACAGUGUCUGGUGGGUAGUUUGACUGGGGCGGUCUCCUCCCAAAGAGUAACGGAGGAGCACGAAGGUUGGCUAAGCAUGGUCGGACAUCAUGCGGUUAGUGCAAAGGCAUAAGCCAGCUUGACUGCGAGAGUGACGGCUCGAGCAGGUACGAAAGUAGGUCUUAGUGAUCCGGUGGUUCUGAAUGGAAGGGCCAUCGCUCAACGGAUAAAAGGUACUCCGGGGAUAACAGGCUGAUACCGCCCAAGAGUUCAUAUCGACGGCGGUGUUUGGCACCUCGAUGUCGGCUCAUCACAUCCUGGGGCUGAAGUAGGUCCCAAGGGUACGGCUGUUCGCCGUUUAAAGUGGUACGCGAGCUGGGUUUAGAACGUCGUGAGACAGUUCGGUCCCUAUCUGCCGUGGGCGUUGGAAGAUUGAAAGGGGCUGCUCCUAGUACGAGAGGACCGGAGUGGACGCACCACUGGUGUUCGGGUUGUCAUGCCAAUGGCAUUGCCCGGUAGCUAAGUGCGGAAAAGAUAACCGCUGAAAGCAUCUAAGCGGGAAACUUGCCUUGAGAUGAGUCUUCCCUGACCCUUUAAGGGUCCUAAAGGAACGUUUAAGACUAAGACGUUGAUAGGUUGGGUGUGUAAGCGUAGCGAUACGUUGAGCUAACCAAUACUAAUGAACCGUGAGGCUUAACCUG
rnacentral:rRNA from 1 species